GGAGGUGGGGUCCAAGAUGGACUCAAGGAAGUAGGAAUAGGAUCGCGGUCGUGGGUUAGUGGAACGCGUGGGUUGACCCGGAAGCCACAUGCAGGUCGCAUGAAGUGGGCCUACUAGUUGGGCCAUAGCGUUGGGUGCAGACUUAUUAGGCAUGCGCCUGGCCCGACUAUAUGUUGGGUGCACGUCUGGACGAAUGGGUCUGCGCAUGCGGCCGAUUCCACGUAUAGGGCCUACAGAUCUUGUGCGUGGGCAUUGCCUCGCACAGGGGUGUAUGGCCCGUGUGCGAGCACGUGCGACUUGUGCAGAGCUUUCUGUCCGCACGCUCGACGUGUCGUGAUCAUGCUGGAAGUAUUCCUAUGUGUGUGGGUGGACUUCCAUGUGCAUGUGAACCAUUGCACACGUGCCAUAGAUAAUUAUCGUGUGCCGCAUGUGUCUUCUGCUUUUUUUGUUUU
rnacentral:lncRNA from 1 species